rnacentral:rRNA from 1 species
UCCUGGCUUAGGAUGAACGCUAGCGGCAGGCUUAACACAUGCAAGUCGAGGGGCAGCGGGAUGUAGCAAUACAUUGCCGGCGACCGGCGGAUGGGUGCGUAACGCGUAUGCAACCUACCUUAUACAGGGGAAUAACCUUUCGAAAGGGAGACUAACACCCCAUGGUAUUGAUUUAAGGCAUCUUAGAUUAAUUAAAUAUUUAUAGGUAUAAGAUGGGCAUGCGUAUGAUUAGCUAGUUGGUAAGGUAACGGCUUACCAAGGCGACGAUCAUUAGGGGUUCUGAGAGGAAGGUCCCCCCACACUGGUACUGAGACACGGACCAGACUCCUACGGGAGGCAGCAGUGAGGAAUAUUGGUCAAUGGGCGCAAGCCUGAACCAGCCAUGCCGCGUGCAGGAAAGACGGCCUUAUGGGUUGUAAACUGCUUUUACAUAAGACUAACCGUAUAUUUGCGAAUAUACCUGAAUGUAUUAUGAGAAUAAGGAUCGGCUAACUCCGUGCCAGCAGCCGC